rnacentral:rRNA from 1 species
UACGAAGGGGGCUAGCGUUGCUCGGAAUCACUGGGCGUAAAGCGCACGUAGGCGGCUUUUUAAGUCAGGGGUGAAAUCCUGGAGCUCAACUCCAGAACUGCCUUCGAUACUGGAAAGCUCGAGUCCGGGAGAGGUGAGUGGAACUGCGAGUGUAGAGGUGAAAUUCGUAGAUAUUCGCAAGAACACCAGCGGCGAAGGCGGCUCACUGGCCCGGUACUGACGCUGAGGUGCGAAAGCGUGGGGAGCAAACAGG